AUGGAUCAAAAUUCAACUUAUGUGUUGAAAAUCAAUUUGCUUGGCAACCCAAAAAAGGCUAGAAAUGAUAUCAAAUGCUUCUGUUUUGAUAAGGUUAUUGAUUCCGACUUAACAAAUUAUAAGGACUUGGUUGAUUCAAUCGUAGAGCAGUACUCGCCUCGUUAUUUGGAAGUUGCACAUGUUCAGUACUAUGAUGAUGUUCUUAAAAUCUACCCUGAAAUAACAUCUGACCAAGAAUUUGUUUCAAUGUUUGAGAAACACUCUAAGACAAAGGUUAUGCACAUGUUUUUUGCAUAUUGUGAUCCAUCGGAACCAUAUGAGCCUAUAACUGAGUGGCAUAGUGAUGCGCAUAGCCAACCUAACAACAUAGAACAAGAUGAUGAUGAUUAUCUUCGCAACCCAGUACCUAAGAAUGAGCAUGUUGGUGUUGAUGAGGAAAAUAUUUAUUUAGAGGAUGAACCUGUACCUCUUAUCAUGGUUCCUUGUUCCAAUAAAGAAAAGGACAAAGACUAUGUUCCUGAUCAUGAGAGCGAGGCUGAGAGCGAGGAUGAGAGCGAGGAUGAGAGCAUGUCAGAGGUUGAAGUAGAGGAAGAUGAGGAAUAUCACGAGGCAGAUCAUGCACCACACAUUGAAUAUAAAAAAUUAGAUCCUCCAAUGAACGAAGGAAGAAAAUAUCCCAAUAUGGCAGAGUUUAAAUUGGCGCUUUCUCAACAUGCAAUCAAACAUGAAUUUGAGUUUGACACCGAAAAGAGUGCACCACAUAGGUUCAGAACUUAUUGUUCAAGAAGGGAUGAAGAUAAGUGUCCAUGGAGGAUAUAUGCUUCUACAAUGGAAGAUGAGUGCACAGUAAUGGUAAUUUUCUAA
rnacentral:rRNA from 1 species